AACGAACGCUGGCGGCAGGCUUAACACAUGCAAGUCGAGCGGGCCCUCCGGGGUCAGCGGCUGCUGGGUGAGCAACCGGUGGGAUCGUACCUUUUGGUUCGGCACAUCUCCGGGAAAUUGGAGCUAAUAACGGAUAAGCCCUCAGGGGGAAAGCUCCAUCGCCAUAAGAUCGGCCCGCGUCUGUUUAGCUUGUUGGUGGGGUUACGGCCCACUAAGCCGGCGAUCAGUAGCUGGUCUGAGAGGGUGAUCAGCCACACUGGGACUGGGACACGGCCCAGACGCCUACGAGAGGCAGCAAAGGGGAAAAUUGGGCAGUGGGCGCGAGCCUGAUCCGGCCAGGCCGCGAGAGUGAUGAAGGCCUUAGGAUUGGAAUGCGCUUUUGUCCAAGAAGAUAGUGACUGUACCGGAUGAAGAAGCCCCGGCUAACUUCGUG
rnacentral:rRNA from 1 species